rnacentral:rRNA from 1 species
AUUGAACGCUGGCGGAAUGCUUUACACAUGCAAGUCGAACGGUAGAGGGGGCAACCCCUCGAGAGUGGCGAACGGGUGAGUAAUAUAUCGGAACGUGCCCAGUCGUGGGGGAUAACGUAGCGAAAGUUACGCUAAUACCGCAUCCGAUCUAAGGAUGAAAGCGGGGGAUCGAAAGACCUCGCGCGAUUGGAGCGACCGAUAUCAGAUUAGGUAGUUGGUGGGGUAAAGGAUCACCGAGCCAACGAUCUGUAGCUGGUCUGAGAGGACGACCAGCCACACUGGAACUGAGACACGGUCCAGACUCCUACGGGAGGCAGCAGUGGGGAAUUUUGGACAAUGGACGCAAGUCUGAUCCAGCCAUUCCGCGUGCAGGAUGAAGGCCCUCGGGUUGUAAACUGCUUUUGUACGGAACGAAAAGGUCUCUCUUAAUACGGGGGGCUCAUGACGGUACCGUAAGAAUAAGCACCGGCUAACUACGUGCCAGCCGCCGCUGUAA